GUCUAAGUACAGGCUGUAUUAAGGCAAAACCACAAAUGGCUCAUUAAACCAGGUAUAGAUCCUUGGAUCAUGCUUUACUUCUUGAAUAACUGUGGUAAUUCUAGAGCUAACACAUGCAAGCAGAGCUCUGACCAUCUGAGGAUGAGCACUUUUAUUAGACCAAAACCAAUUGGAUCUCAUGCAUUAUUAUGUUGUCUUUCUGCUAACAAACAGGAAGAAUAGACAACAAUGCUCAAUGCUAAAUUUAUGAAAAUCUCUGAUUUUUUUAAAG
rnacentral:ncRNA from 1 species